UACAGAGGUCCCAAGCGUUGUUCGGAUUCAUUGGGCGUAAAGGGUGCGUAGGUGGCGUCGUAAGUCGGGUGUGAAAUUUCGGAGCUCAACUCCGAAACUGCAUUCGAUACUGCGGUGCUUGAGGACUGGAGAGGAGACUGGAAUUUACGGUGUAGCGGUGAAAUGCGUAGAUAUCGUAAGGAAGACCAGUGGCGAAGGCGGGUCUCUGGACAGUUCCUGACGCUGAGGCACGAAGGCCAGGGGAGCAAACGGG
rnacentral:rRNA from 1 species